rnacentral:rRNA from 1 species
AGUGAACGCUGGCGGUAGGCCUAACACAUGCAAGUCGAACGGCAGCACAGUAAGAGCUUGCUCUUACGGGUGGCGAGUGGCGGACGGGUGAGGAAUACAUCGGAAUCUUCUUUUUCGUGGGGGAUAACGUAGGGAAACUUACGCUAAUACCGCAUACGACCUACGGGUGAAAGCAGGGGAUCUUCGGACCUUGCGCGAUUGAAUGAGCCGAUGUCGGAUUAGCUAGUUGGCGGGGUAAAGGCCCACCAAGGCGACGAUCCGUAGCUGGUCUGAGAGGAUGAUCAGCCACACUGGAACUGAGACACGGUCCAGACUCCUACGGGAGGCAGCAGUGGGGAAUAUUGGACAAUGGGCGCAAGCCUGAUCCAGCCAUACCGCGUGGGUGAAGAAGGCCUUCGGAUUGUAAAGCCCUUUUGUUGGGAAAGAAAAUCAGCAUAUUAAUACCCCGCUGUUCUGACGGUACCCAAAGAAUAAGCACCGGCUAACUUCGUG